CCCCUCAAUCACACAAUCCCACAAAGAAGAGUAGCAUGUUAUUCAGAUUAUGAGGGUGAGCAGACCAUAUAUUCAUUCAGCCAAGAAUACUCAUUUAGCCAGUCACAACCAGGGGGUUCACAAGCUUCACAAACAAUAACUAGCCAAGCCUUACAGGACCUAGCAAUGGCUAGAAGGAUGCAAAGGAGAAAAUAGUUGAAAGUUGCUUUGUACCUGAUUAAUGGAAGGUGAUGAAGUUGAUUUUUUUUUGCUGCUGAUGGAAGAACACCAAUAUCAGAAAUUUUUCGUGUUGUGGAAGUUCUUAUUUUUUGCUGCUCCUGAUUUCUUGAGAG